rnacentral:rRNA from 1 species
AUUGAACGCUGGCGGAAUGCUUUACACAUGCAAGUCGAACGGCAGCACGGGGGCAACCCUGGUGGCGAGUGGCGGACGGGUGAGUAAAGCAUCGGAACGUAUCCUGGAGUGGGGGAUAACGUAGCGAAAGUUACGCUAAUACCGCAUAUUCUGUGAGCAGGAAAGCAGGGGAUCGCAAGACCUUGCGCUCUGGGAGCGGCCGAUGUCGGAUUAGCUAGUUGGUGGGGUAAAGGCCUACCAAGGCGACGAUCCGUAGCGGGUCUGAGAGGAUGAUCCGCCACACUGGGACUGAGACACGGCCCAGACUCCUACGGGAGGCAGCAGUGGGGAAUUUUGGACAAUGGGCGCAAGCCUGAUCCAGCCAUGCCGCGUGAGUGAAGAAGGCCCUCGGGUUGUAAAGCUCUUUUGUCCGGAAAGAAAGCACUGGGUUAAUACCCCGGUGUCCUGACGGUACCGGAAGAAUAAGCACCGGCUAACUUCGUGCCAGCAGCCGCGGUAAAGUCGU